rnacentral:rRNA from 1 species
GACGAACGCUGGCGGCGUGCUUAACACAUGCAAGUCGAGCGGUAAGGCCCUUUCGGGGGUACACGAGCGGCGAACGGGUGAGUAACACGUGGGUGACCUGCCCUCAGCUCUGGGAUAAGCCUGGGAAACCGGGUCUAAUACCGGAUAUGACUCCAUGACGCAUGUUGUGGGGUGGAAAGCCUUGUGCGGCUGAGGAUGGGCCCGCGGCCUAUCAGCUUGUUGGUGGGGUGANGGCCUACCAAGGCGACGACGGGUAGCCGGCCUGAGAGGGCGACCGGCCACACUGGGACUGAGACACGGCCCAGACUCCUACGGGAGGCAGCAGUGGGGAAUCUUGCGCAAUGGGCGAAAGCCUGACGUAGCGACGCCGCGUGAGGGAUGACGGCCU